UGUGAAAAGAUCACCACAGAGAGAUUUAUGUAAAGUAUAGUUUAUUUACAAGAGUGUGUGACCUAUACAUGACUACUUUUUGUAGCAGUGAUCCUCUAUCCUCUACCCGAGGAGGGCAGCCUUGUACUGGAGAUGGGCGAUGGCGUCAGCGUGGUGGAUGGCGGGGAUGCCGGCAGCGUAGACGGCGGCCAGGGGCAGCCCAGACACGGGGUCUGCGGGGGUGGCGGCGGCCAGGGC